ensembl:lncRNA
GCAGGUUUAUUUUUCUGCGUCGUAGUGUGCUGAGCUGUUUUGCCUAUGAACUAUUUAACAGUUUGAAUAACGAGUUGUCCUCUUUUCAUAAGGCGUGAGCAGUGGAGCUCUACAGGGAGGAGGUGUCAGAGCGGAAUAAGUAGGAGAGAAGGAAUGAACAAUUAGUGUAGAGUGGUGGAACAGUUCCAUGACAAGCAGAGGCGAGGGGGGAGGGAGCCCUGAAAGAGGCCAGGUGCAAUAUCACAUCCUUCCUGUCAGUGGGCUUAAAAGGAGAGCAGAGGAAGAGCUUUUAGCUCCAAGGGACGCAUGUGGAAUGCUGACCAUAGGCUGGAAGAAUCGACUAUUCAGUGUGCGUCUCAUCCAUGUGCCCUACUGGGUCGGGGAGGUAUCUACCAAGUAAAAAGUGCUGCCAGCAUCUUCUGAGGUGCUUGGAAUACCGACAAGAAAAGUCAGGCUUUGACCUUUUCUCUACCAAAUUGGCACACUUUGAAUCAUCCCCAGACCUUUCACAACCAUCAUUUAUGAAGAAGGAACAAAUGAAGAGCACACCUGUCUAUGAAAUAGCUAUUGGAGUGAGUGAAUUGUGUGUACAUUACAUUUGAGCCCCUGAAAAUAUUGGACUGGCUGCAACUCCCUGAGUGAUUAAGAAAAUGUUUUUGUUCAACCCAUUGAAUUAAAGUUUAAAGUCUGCCCUUUAAGCCCAUAUAUAUAUAUAUCACUGUAUAACUUUAACCUUAAUAUAUUUGGGAGCAGAGCUAAAAUAUUAAAAAUUGUGUCAGUGUCCAAGUAUAUUUGGACCUAGCUGUGUGCACGAUUCACCAGUAACAUGGCAGCAUUCAUGUACAGUACUGUUCUACUAUUAAAAGUAAGUUAUAAAAAGCCAAAUGCAAUUUCAAAUGCAUGACGCAACUUAAAUACCAUGUGGCACUGGAUUUAAUGAGGGGCAAAACAUAAGAGCCGCUUUUUCAACAACAGCAAUUGAGGUGUUUUGGGGUAUUCUUUGGGGCCCUCUAAUGAAUAAAUGGCCAAGCAAAUGCCGCCCGACUUAAGAACAUGCUGCUACCCAGCUCCAGAGUUAAAAGCCUAAAGUGAGAUUAAUCACUGCUGCUGAGGGGGAUGAUGUUCUUUGUAUCUGGUAAUUUAUGGUCUCUUUACCACUGAGACCCUGAACCAACAUCACGCCUCUCACAUACUGUACAUACUCUGCCACUAAUCAUGAGCGGCUCCUUAGGCGCCUCUUUAGCAAAUGUUCUCAGCAACAAGAAGAUGGGCUGGACAUAAAUAAGGCAUAAGGGCUAAUAUAGUUGCUUUCAUGACAGCAAAGCUUCUUACUGCUUUACAACACCCUACAAUAUCCAGGAAUGUUCCAACACAGCCACAUGUCACUGCCGAAGUAAGAUAUAAGUAUGAUGCCUUCACAGCAUCACAGAAAAGAAGCGAUGUAUAUGGAAAUAGCUUAGCAUGGGAAGAGACAGCUUGUAGUCUGGAGGCCUUGCAAAGGAUCAAAGUGAACAGUGACUUCUCUUAGCCAGGUCUGAUGUGGGAACAGGAUAGUAAGCAGAGUUCUCCCUGCAGUCAGAACCUGACUCAUGGUAUAGUGAAUAUUUCAUGGCAAGCGUCACAGAACUGACAGCGGUGCUGGCCACGGGGCAGCUCUGAUAGACAGAAGAAAGCAUGUGUAGAGUGGGGUGAUAGAGUGGUGGGGGGGGAUUAGUAUUCAUACCGUAGUAUGGGCAGUUUAUAAACAGGCAUGUGCGCACCAUAUGAAGAGUAAUAAACUAUCUAACACAGAAACAAAAUCUCUGAAAAGUUAUUUGGCUUCAUGAGGAGGUUUGAAUGUUCCAUCACUUCCAUUUAUACAAAAAGUCCCCUGCAAAGCUUCUCUCUAAAAUAGUCCUCCUUAUGAAGACCGAGCAUACUGCUUACUGUGACUGGAUCCUGUUGAAUCAGUUUAAAAAUACAAAUAUUUCUCAGUUUAAUAACAUUGCUUGUCACCCACACAUUUUCAUAAGUGUGCAAUAUUAAGCCAAGCCUUUAAAGCGCUGUUGCCCCCUAACACUUUUAGGAGGCUGCAUUCAGCUUCAAAAGCUCUGAUGGGCCCUCUGGAGAGGCCAAAUCAUGUAGUCUUAUUAUAGAGGAGACAAAUCAAGUGUACCAAAACCCUCCCCUUCAGCCCUACUUUCUCAAGGUUAUUUUCAAAGAUAGCUCAUGUCUUAGUACAGUAUGUGGGUUGGGCUUUAAGUCAGACCUGCCACUAGAGAUGCAGUGUUACCCUAUGCAGUAAAAAAGAAAGAGUUUCCGAGGCCAGGGGUGUAACUAAUUUAAACCCUUGGGAGUCUUGGCUGGGCACUGGGUUUUGUCCCAGCAGAAUAAAGUCAGGCCUCUUAGGUUCUGGGUGUGUUUGGCUUCACACACAGCAGAGACUGUGUCAACUUAUGUCUCAGUAUUACGGCACUCAAAGGUAAUGAGAUUUGGGCUUUCUGCAUCAUAAAGUAUGGACACCCUUGAGGCAGUGGUGCCCUUGUUCAGCCUAGGAGCACAAAGCAGGCUUACAUAAUAUCAGAAUCACCACAUAUUACACUGAGAAAUGAUUAUGGACUCCAGAGAGGCAUGUUCCUUCUGUCAGUGAUAUUUUGGCUGUCACAUAGGAUAUCUCUCAAUAGCACACUCACUAGCUCCACUUUCCCUUGCAGGACAAAAUACCACAUUUGCUGCAAUAAUAGCUCACUGAAUUCAAACAGAUGAAUCUCAGCAAACAUCCCUUCCACGCUGAUAAGCACACUGUAAUUUUCUCAAGGAGCAUUUCUCAGCGAUAUUACUUAAAUUUACCUGUACCAAGUGUCACAUUUUCCAUUUUUUAAACGCACUGCACUGUGAACAUGAAAGCGAGAGGACUGCUGCAGCAUUGUAUUACUCUUUGGUGGGAAUCCAGGCAUCACUAACAUUGAUUUCUUAUAUUUUAUACUGCGGUAUAAUGAACUCCCCUCAGUCAAGACCCGUCACCAUGCAUUACUGUCUGACCACACGAAAUGAAAGCUAUGCUGCCUUUCAGGCACUUUAAAUGAAAUACA